CAGAAGUCAUCUGUAUGGCUCCUCCAUGUCAAAUCAAAGAAUUGAAAGUUGGUGGUCAAUUUUCAGGAAAGGAAGAGCUCAGUUUUGGAUGGAUCUCUUUGGAGACAUUCGUGACUUUGGGCUAUUCAAUGGGAGUCACGAACACCAGUGCCUGCUUCGCUACUGUUUUAUGAAUAUACUUCAGACUGACUCAGAUGAAUGCACUUCCCUUUGGAAUCUCCAUCGAAUUAGACCUUCACGGAUGUCACUCUGUCCCGGGGGCAUACCAAAUGAAAUGUACAGAUUGCCGCAAAGAUUUGGAGCCCGAGAUUGUGGAUUCCCAUUGGAUGUACAGGAGCUGCAACAGCUGUCAGAAAAUUACGGAACAGUCAACAUUUGCGGAGAUGAGGCAAUUUACUUUUAUUUGAAUAAUGUUAUUCAACAGUGCAG